GACGGACGCUGGCGGCGUGCUUAACACAUGCAAGUCGAACGGAAAGGCCCUGCUUUUGUGGGGUGCUCGAGUGGCGAACGGGUGAGUAACACGUGAGUAACCUGCCCUUGACUUUGGGAUAACUUCAGGAAACUGGGGCUAAUACCGGAUAGGAGCUCCUGCUGCAUGGUGGGGGUUGGAAAGUUUCGGCGGUUGGGGAUGGACUCGCGGGUUAUCGGCUUGUGGGUGGGGUAGUGGCUAACCAAGGGUUGGAGGGGUAGCCGGCCUGAGAGGGUGACCGGCCACAUUGGGACUGGGGAAGGACCCGGAGUCCUACGGGAGGAAGAAGUGGGAAUUAUUGCACAAUGGGCGGAGGCCUGAUGGAGCAACGCCGCGUGCGGAAUGACGGCUUUCGGGUUGUAACCCGCUUUCGCCUGGGACGAAGCGUGAGUGACGGUAAUGGGUAAAGAAGCACCGGCUAACUACGUG
rnacentral:rRNA from 1 species